CACCCAACCUUCUCACUGUGACUGCCACAUAGAUAGUGCUGGCAAAUGUAUUUCAAGGCUCAUGUGUAUACAGGUACAGUGUACAUUGCACCAAGUAAAUAUUACAGUCAAGUGUCAUGUGGGAUAUUCCAUGGCAGAUCCCUCAAAAAUGUUGCAUAACUAGACAAGUAUGCUAAAUUUUAGCAAGUGCUUCACACUGAAAAAUGGCAAAUGAUAUGUAGGAAUUAUGAAUUGAUCAGCUACAAUGAUUGUUGAUCAAUACAUUAUUAGUAGUUAAGGUAACUGUUGUACUUGAUUUACAUGUACAUGUCAGGCACUUUACUUGCUCAAUAGGCACCUCAAAAAACCUUUCAUUUAGUCAACAUUAUAAACUCAUUACUCAUUAAACAGGAAAGGCAGUAAGAAAACAGAAAAUGGCGAGUACUUGUCAGAUGGCAUUGAUUCAUCAAGCACUAAUCAGGAAGGUACUCCACCACUGCUUAGUGUUCUUCGACAAAUUAAUCAAGCCACUUUAUUACAAGUUUUAGAAUAUCAUGUGGAAUGGUUAGAAGAAAUUGGAUUUUCACACAAUCAGGUAAUUCACAAACUAAUGUAGAUUCAUCCAAGCCUUUGCUGAAGUUAGACGCCCUUGUUAGAAAUCUUGUUAAAGCAAGCUGAACAUUUUACAGGACUGGUAAAUUUUUUUCUUGCCAUUUUUUGUGCUGAUUCUAAAGUAGCCGAGUACCUGGAAGAGGCUUAGGUAGAGUAAUAAUGGUAUAAUAGUAACCUUUAUUUGACCUCGGCGAAUCGUUUAUAGCACAUUGUUAACAAUCCCAACUGG